rnacentral:rRNA from 1 species
UACGUAGGGGGCAAGCGUUGUCCGGAUUUAUUGGGCGUAAAGAGCGUGUAGGCGGCCAGGUAGGUCCGCUGUGAAAACUCGAGGCUCAACCUCGAGACGCCGAUGGAAACCAUCUGGCUAGAGUCCGGAAGAGGAGAGUGGAAUUCCUGGUGUAGCGGUGAAAUGCGCAGAUAUCAGGAAGAACACCCGUGGCUAAGGCGGCUCUCUAGUACGGUACUGACGCUGAGACGCGAAAGCGUGGGGAGCAAACAGG